rnacentral:rRNA from 1 species
UGGGGAAUAUUGCACAAUGGGCGCAAGCCUGAUGCAGCCAUGCCGCGUGUAUGAAGAAGGCCUUCGGGUUGUAAAGUACUUUCAGUCGGGAGGAAGGUGGUAAGGUUAAUAACCUUAUCAAUUGACGUUACCGACAGAAGAAGCACCGGCUAACUCCGUGCCAGCAGCCGCGGUAAUACGGAGGGUGCAAGCGUUAAUCGGAAUUACUGGGCGUAAAGCGCACGCAGGCGGUUGAUUGAGUCAGAUGUGAAAUCCCCGGGCUUAACCCGGGAAUUGCAUCUGAUACUGGUCAGCUAGAGUCUUGUAGAGGGGGGUAGAAUUCCAUGUGUAGCGGUGAAAUGCGUAGAGAUGUGGAGGAAUACCGGUGGCGAAGGCGGCCCCCUGGACAAAGACUGACGCUCAGGUGCGAUAGCGUGGGGAGCAAACAGG